AUUGAACGCUGGCGGCAGGCCUAACACAUGCAAGUCGAGCGGCAGCGGAAAGUAGCUUGCUACUUUGCCGGCGAGCGGCGGACGGGUGAGUAAUGUCUGGGAAACUGCCUGAUGGAGGGGGAUAACUACUGGAAACGGUAGCUAAUACCGCAUAACGUCGCAAGACCAAAGAGGGGGACCUUCGGGCCUCUUGCCAUCAGAUGUGCCCAGAUGGGAUUAGCUAGUAGGUGGGGCAAUGGCUCACCUAGGCGACGAUCCCUAGCUGGUCUGAGAGGAUGACCAGCCACACUGGAACUGAGACACGGUCCAGACUCCUACGGGAGGCAGCAGUGGGGAAUAUUGCACAAUGGGCGCAAGCCUGAUGCAGCCAUGCCGCGUGUAUGAAGAAGGCCUUCGGGUUGUAAAGUACUUUCAGCGGGGAGGAAGGUGUUGAGGUUAAUAACCUCAGCAAUUGACGUUACCCGCAGAAGAAGCACCGGCUAACUCCGUGCCAGCCGCCGCUGUAACAC
rnacentral:rRNA from 1 species